AAAACAAUGUUUUUCUGAUUAGUGGUGAAAUAUAAAGUAUAACCUCUGCUUGGGGGCAAACUCAUAAAUAAGAUCACACCUGGUCAGAGGUAUUAAAUUCUAAAUAACAUUGAUUCAAAAUUGCAACAUCCUGUUUAAAUUAAAUAACAAGGCCUUUCGAAUAUACAUGUAUGUACUAGAUAAGUAAUACAUGAAUUUAAGAAAAUAGGGCUUUCUUUUUAC
rnacentral:lncRNA from 1 species